rnacentral:rRNA from 1 species
GACGAACGCUGGCGGCGUGCUUAACACAUGCAAGUCGAACGAAGUGGCGAACGGGUGAGUAACGCGUAAGCAACCUGCCCUUCAGAGGGGGACAACAGUGGGAAACGACUGCUAAUACCGCAUACUGACGGCGGGGAUUGCGUCUGCAUAGCUAGUUUGAGGGGUAACGGCCCACCAAGGCGAUGAUCAGUAGCCUGUCUGGGAGGAUGAACGGCCACAUUGUGACUGAGACACGGCCCAGACUCCUACGGGAGGCAGCAGUUGGGAAUCUGCCGCAAUGGACGGAAGUCUGACGGAGCAACGCCGCGUGAGUGAUGACGGCCUUCGGGUUGUAAAGCUCUGUUAAUCGGGACGCGGUACCGGAAGAGAAAGCCACGGCUAACUACGUGCCAGCAGCCGCGGUAAUUC